AGAGUUUGAUCAUGGCUCAGGACGAACGCUGGCGGCGUGCCUAAUACAUGCAAGUCGAGCGGACAGAAGGGAGCUUGCUCCCGGAUGUUAGCGGCGGACGGGUGAGUAACACGUGGGUAACCUGCCUGUAAGACCGGGAUAACUCCGGGAAACCGGAGCUAAUACCGGAUAGUUCCUUGGAUCGCAUGGUUCAAGGAUGAAAGACGGUUUCGGCUGUCACUUACAGAUGGACCCGCGGCGCAUUAGCUAGUUGGUGGGGUAAUGGCUCACCAAGGCGACGAUGCGUAGCCGACCUGAGAGGGUGAUCGGCCACACUGGGACUGAGACACGGCCCAGACUCCUACGGGAGGCAGCAGUAGGGAAUCUUCCGCAAUGGACGAAAGUCUGACGGAGCAACGCCGCGUGAGUGAUGAAGGUUUUCGGAUCGUAAAGCUCUGUUGUUAGGGAAGAACAAGUGCGAGAGUAACUGCUCGCACCUUGACGGUACCUAACCAGAAAGCCACGGCUAACUACGUGCCAGCAGCCGCGGUAAUACGUAGGUGGCAAGCGUUGUCCGGAAUUAUUGGGCGUAAAGGGCUCGCAGGCGGUUUCUUAAGUCUGAUGUGAAAGCCCCCGGCUCAACCGGGGAGGGUCAUUGGAAACUGGGAAACUUGAGUGCAGAAGAGGAGAGUGGAAUUCCACGUGUAGCGGUGAAAUGCGUAGAGAUGUGGAGGAACACCAGUGGCGAAGGCGACUCUCUGGACUGUAACUGACGCUGAGGAGCGAAAGCGUGGGGAGCGAACAGGAUUAGAUACCCUGGUAGUCCACGCCGUAAACGAUGAGUGCUAAGUGUUAGGGGGUUUCCGCCCCUUAGUGCUGCAGCUAACGCAUUAAGCACUCCGCCUGGGGAGUACGGUCGCAAGACUGAAACUCAAAGGAAUUGACGGGGGCCCGCACAAGCGGUGGAGCAUGUGGUUUAAUUCGAAGCAACGCCCAUAACCUUACCAGGUCUCGACAUCCUCUGACAACCCUAGAGAUAGGGCUUUCCCUUCGGGGACAGAGUGACAGGUGGUGCAUGGUUGUCGUCAGCUCGUGUCGUGAGAUGUUGGGUUAAGUCUCGCAACGAGCGCAACCCUUGAUCUUAGUUGCCAGCAUUUAGUUGGGCACUCUAAGGUGACUGCCGGUGACAAUCCGGAGGAAGGUGGGGAUGACGUCAAAUCAUCAUGCCCCUUAUGACCUGGGCUACACACGUGCUACAAUGGACAGAACAAAGGGCUGCAAGACCGCAAGGUUUAGCCAAUCCCAUAAAUCUGUUCUCAGUUCGGAUCGCAGUCUGCAACUCGACUGCGUGAAGCUGGAAUCGCUAGUAAUCGCGGAUCAGCAUGCCGCGGUGAAUACGUUCCCGGGCCUUGUACACACCGCCCGUCACACCACGAGAGUUUGCAACACCCGAAGUCGGUGAGGUAACCUUUAUGGAGCCAGCCGCCGAAGGUGGGGCAGAUGAUUGGGGUGAAGUCGUAACAAGGUAACCGUA
rnacentral:rRNA from 1 species